ACUCUUAUGUUUAUGCAUAUCGUUUUUUAACUAAUGGUAUCUUCUAGAAAUCAUUAAUGUCAGUUUACAUCUGACUUUCUGCUGCUCUUCCUCUCACAUUAUUCAUGUUUGAAAGGCUGUUCAUAGCAUUUGUCAGAGAAUGGCUCUUUACCUUCCCAGUGCCAUCUGUUUGGACUGUGCAAGCGGGGAGAUAUUCCUACUUUGCAGUCUCUUUACAAAGAACAGGCUGCAUCCACCAUUUGCAGCUCCUGCCAGGGCAAAGAAUAACAACCAAUUGGGGAAUACAUAAAACAAAUUGGAUGAUGCUUCAGAGAGCCUCUGUAGCCCAACAAGAAAGCAGAAAGCACCAGUUGGAAAAGCUAAACCUUCCAGGAGCAUCUUGCAGACAUGCAGACAGCUGGGCGAAUGGAGGGACUGUGAAGACAUUCCUCAGCUGCUUCAGCGAAAGCUUUGGUCAGGUCAGCUUCAGAACCACGGGAAGCAAUAACACCAGGAGGAGUGGCUGGAACAGGUGGGGAGCAGGAAGGAUGGGAUGAGGGGUCUCCAAUUGGCUGUUUCUGUGGUGGACUCUCCCCAUUGCUUUAACUCGGGGCCCCCUGUACACGGAGAACAGCUGUGGAUGUGAUUUGUCUCGCUUAAACUGAGGCACAGAAAAGGUAGAUGCUGCAAUCUAAAGGAUGUUUCUUUUGCAACGAAUGGAGAUACACCUCCAAAGAGCUCUUUGUCUAACUUCUUGUAGAUGGCUAUCUAAGGAUGAGAUGAUUGUCCCCUGUAUCUUUCCAUGGACCACAGAAGGAAACUAGACCUGGCCCUUAGCAGUUAGCUUUUUGAUUUGUAUUUUGGGACAUCUAAACCCACCAUAUAGAGAAGGCAGGACUAGAGAUGGAUGCAAAGAACAAUCACAGGCCUAAUUAUUUCUGUGAGAUGAAAGGGGUGAAUACAUGGAAUGCAUUUAUCUUUUCAGUAUCAGAGUGAACGUCCUGUAAAUUCUCAGCUCUGGUACUGUGGUUGUCUGUGCAUUUGAUGCAAAGCAACCAGAUCGUUAGGUGAAGUUCUCUGGCAGAGCUGUGUGCUGGGCCUGCAGAACCCUCAUCUCUCUUUGAUUCAGUGGAGAAGUACUGCAUUCCCCCCUGAUUUGUGGGUGUGAUCUCAAAAAGCAAAACUGGAACAGCAGGAACACAUUCCCAGAAGUACAACAGUGUGAUGGGGCUGUUAUCACUUAGACCAGCUAGAGGGUGGUUUCUGAUCUAGCUCCAAAUGCCGUCCAUCUAAACCUGCAGAAAUUAACCUCUGCAUCUUUUGAGAUGUAUUCAAAUCUACAGGCCUGAAAAGAUGCCCUGCGUUUCCCCAUAUGUCAGAGUAGUGAGGUCAGCAUGAAUUCCAAGUCCUGAAGCCACAGAGCUGAAGUGCAAACUUGGAGCUUGGGCUGUGGAUUGUUUCAGUGAUUCUACUAAGUCUGGCUUACAAGGGUAUUACUUUAAUCUACCAAUGACUUCCUUGCAUAUACAUGUAAUAAUAUACAUCAUCCUGAGUUCCUGGUCAUGCAUACGGCUGCUCAGCUAUGCACAGCCACCUUAUCAGUCAGGCUUCGGUGGUGGUGACUCUGUUGAAAAAAUGGAAGCAAUGAUAAGGAAAAGGCAGUAGAAACUGGAAAUGCUGUUUGCUGCAAACAGUGCCCCAGCUGAGUCCAGGCCAGACUGGACCUGAGCGCACUGAAGGAUAAGGGUCUGACUUCUUUUCCACCUGGUUCUCUGGUGUUUCUGCAUUGCCGGCCAGGGUUGGUGAUCAGCACCUGGACGUGCAGCUAUGGCUGUAAUUCACAGAUGUUAUCUGAGUGCAAUGGAAUAAGGGGCAGAGCCAGGUUCGAAGUGGAUGCCGUGGCUGAACAUCACGGCUCACUCAGCCGCCCAACAGAGACCAUCUGGAUCCGGUUCUGUUCAUCCACCUGAGACUGCCAUUCACAAGAUGGAUCUUGCAGACUUCAGCACAUCUACAGCAUCGGGAACACCAAACGAUGAUGGCCAGAAGGAAUAUUAGUAGGCUCUGUCCACUGAUUCCACAGCAGUACAAUAAAAUACCGGGUGGAGUCCCAUCACCUCUCGAUGUGAGGUCGAUAUGUGCCCUCUGAGGAAACACCUUCAAGCAGAACCUCACUUUCUGAUCUUCCUGAAGUCUCAGAAUCCAGAUUACGCAUCAUCCCUAUGCGGAAUCAGGACAACCUCCCUCUGAGAAUUCAGAGCCUGCAGGAUGCUUAGUAGGACAUGCCUGGAAUUACACAGAUUAUGCCUCCUUGCAUGGGAGAAGUAGAAAAGUCACAGCAUGGGUUAAAAAUACGCUUGUCUUCUCUCAAUAAUUAAUUGUUUAGGGAUUAACAUGAGGUUUUGUGUUUUGAAAGUAAACUAAUCCACUCGUUGGCUGGUGUGUAAUGAAGGAGAACAGGUUACUGUCAAGCAGGCUGAAAACAGUGAAAAUUAACUACAAGUGCCACGACUCACAUAUUUUAUGUAUAUGAGUAAUGUAUUCUCUGUGGGACAGAAGAUGAAAAUAUCACACAGAAAAGAAAAACACAGUGGCUACAAAUUUAAUAAAACAAGCAGUCAUACUUAGCCUCGCAGUAUAGUCUGGCAUUUUUACUGCCCGAUGGUAUCAAGGUUGGGCCAGUGCAAGAGAAUUCAUGCUCGUGAACUCACAAGAAGCACAAACUUCACUUUCUGCAGCCUCUCUGCUUGCAGAGCUAGCAAAAGGGAAGGAAAAUACAACUAAAACCAAGAAAACACUGAAUUAAAAU
ensembl:lncRNA